rnacentral:rRNA from 1 species
GACGAACGCUGGCGGCGUGCCUAAUACAUGCAAGUAGAACGCUGAAGAGAGGAGCUUGCUCUUCUUGGAUGAGUUGCGAACGGGUGAGUAACGCGUAGGUAACCUGCCUUGUAGCGGGGGAUAACUAUUGGAAACGAUAGCUAAUACCGCAUAACAAUGGAUGACACAUGUCAUUUAUUUGAAAGGGGCAAUUGCUCCACUACAAGAUGGACCUGCGUUGUAUUAGCUAGUAGGUGAGGUAAUGGCUCACCUAGGCGACGAUACAUAGCCGACCUGAGAGGGUGAUCGGCCACACUGGGACUGAGACACGGCCCAGACUCCUACGGGAGGCAGCAGUAGGGAAUCUUCGGCAAUGGGGGCAACCCUGACCGAGCAACGCCGCGUGAGUGAAGAAGGUUUUCGGAUCGUAAAGCUCUGUCGUAAGUCAAAAACGGGUGUGAGAGUGGAAAGUUCACACUGUGACGGUAGCUUACCAGAAAGGGACGGCUAACUACGUGCCAGCAGCCGCGGUAAUACGUAGGUCCCGAGCGUUGUCCGGAUUUAUUGGGCGUAAAGCGAGCGCAGGCGGUUUGAUAAGUCUGAAGUUAAAGGCAGUGGCUCAACCAUAGUUCGCUUUGGAAACUGUCAAACUUGAGUGCAGAAGGGGAGAGUGGAAUUCCAUGUGUAGCGGUGAAAUGCGUAGAUAUAUGGAGGAACACCGGUGGCGAAAGCGGCUCUCUGGUCUGUAACUGACGCUGAGGCUCGAAAGCGUGGGGAGCGGACAGGAUUAGAUACCCUGGUAGUCCACGCCGUAAACGAUGAGUGCUAGGUGUUGGAUCCUUUCCGGGAUUCAGUGCCGCAGCUAACGCAUUAAGCACUCCGCCUGGGGAGUACGACCGCAAGGUUGAAACUCAAAGGAAUUGACGGGGGCCCGCACAAGCGGUGGGGCAUGUGGUUUAAUUCGAAGCAACGCGAAGAACCUUACCAGGUCUUGACAUCCCGAUGCUAUUUCUAGAGAUAGAAAGUUACUUCGGUACAUCGGUGACAGGUGGUGCAUGGUUGUCGUCAGCUCGUGUCGUGAGAUGUUGGGUUAAGUCCCGCAACGAGCGCAACCCCUAUUGUUAGUUGCCAUCAUUCAGUUGGGCACUCUAGCGAGACUGCCGGUAAUAAACCGGAGGAAGGUGGGGAUGACGUCAAAUCAUCAUGCCCCUUAUGACCUGGGCUACACACGUGCUACAAUGGUUGGUACAACGGGUUGCGAGUCGGUGACGGCGAGCUAAUCUCUUAAAGCCAAUCUCAGUUCGGAUUGUAGGCUGCAACUCGCCUACAUGAAGUCGGAAUCGCUAGUAAUCGCGGAUCAGCACGCCGCGGUGAAUACGUUCCCGGGCCUUGCACACACCGCCCGUCACACCACGAGAGUUUGUAACACCCGAAGUCGGUGAGGUAACCCUUUGGAGCCAGCCGCCUAAGGUGGGACAGAUGAUUGGGGUGAAGUCGUAACAAGGUAGCCGUAUCGGAAGG